UUGCCGUUGCUGUAUCUCUUGGAUGCCGUGCAGAACGGAAUCAGGCAGCCAAGCCUCAGGUUCACCUUCUCCCUCACCCUCUGCGCUGCUCGUGUGGCACAGCAGAUCCUGAAGCCAGAGGAGCACGUGUACAUAAGGGUAAAGAGAUUCCUUCUGUCGCACCGGUAUUUGGACCUGAGAAAGGUACCGGGUUUUCUCCAGCUUUUCUACAGUUUUGAUCUUGAGAAAACAGAGCGUGAGUGGAUCCUCAGAUUUCUUGGGGAAGGGCUGCGUGACAAACAUUGCUGUGAGCUUUAUGUCUACCAGAGGAUUUUCCGGGUCAUUCUUGCCUUUUUCAGCAGUCCUUUGUGUGA